rnacentral:rRNA from 1 species
GUUUGAUCAUGGCUCAGAUUGAACGCUGGAGGCGUGCUUAACACAUGCAAGUUGUGCGAGAAAGGGACUUCGGUCCUGAGUAGAGCGGCGCACGGGUGAGUAACGCGUGGGUGAUCUCCCUUGGUGAUCGGGAUAACAGCGGGAAACUGCUGCUAAUACCGGAUAAUCUUCAUGUUUGACUUCAUGGGGUAAAGGUGGCCUCUGCUUGCAAGCUACCACACCGAGAUGAGCCCGCGUCUCAUUAGCUAGUUGGUAGGGUAAUGGCCUACCAAGGCUACGAUGAGUAGCCGGUCUGAGAGGAUGACCAGCCACACUGGGACUGGAACACGGCCCAGACUCCUACGGGAGGCAGCAGUGGGGAAUAUUGCGCAAUGGGCGAAAGCCUGACGCAGCGACGCCUCGUGAGGGAUGAAGGUCUUCGGAUCGUAAACCUCUGUCAAGAGGGAAGAAACCCUUGGAUUCGAACAGGGUCCUUGGCUGACGGUGCCUCAAAAGGAAGCACCGGCUAACUCCGUGCCAGCCGCCGCGGUAAUUCA